rnacentral:piRNA from 1 species
UUCAAGAGGGUGACAUUUUGUUUGGGUGGU